rnacentral:rRNA from 1 species
GAUGAACGCUAGCGGCAGGCUUAAUACAUGCAAGUCGAGGGGCAGCAUGAUUGUAGCAAUACAAUUGAUGGCGACCGGCAAACGGGUGCGGAACACGUACACAACCUUCCAACAAGUGGGGGAUAGCCCAGAGAAAUUUGGAUUAAUACCCCGUAACAUAGCGAUGUGGCAUCACAUUGCUAUUAUAGAUUUUUCGCUUGUUGAUGGGUGUGCGGCUGAUUAGAUAGUUGGCGGGGUAACGGCCCACCAAGUCUACGAUCAGUAGCUGAUGUGAGAGCAUGAUCAGCCGCACGGGCACUGAGACACGGGCCAGACUCCUACGGGAGGCAGCAGUGGGGAAUAUUGGACAAUGGGCGGAAGCCUGAUCCAGCCAAGCCGCGUGUGUGAAGAAGGCCUUAUGGUUGUAAACUGCUUUUGUCAGGGAAGAAAUCUUCUGGGUUAAUACCUCGGGAGGAUGACGGUACCUGAAGAAUAAGCACCGGCUAACUACGUGCCAGCCGCCGCAGUAAUAC